AGAGUUUGAUCAUGGCUCAGAUUGAACGCUGGCGGCAGGCCUAACACAUGCAAGUCGAACGGUAACAGGAAACAGCUUGCUGUUUCGCUGACGAGUGGCGGACGGGUGAGUAAUGUCUGGGAAACUGCCUGAUGGAGGGGGAUAACUACUGGAAACGGUAGCUAAUACCGCAUAACGUCGCAAGACCAAAGAGGGGGACCUUCGGGCCUCUUGCCAUCAGAUGUGCCCAGAUGGGAUUAGCUAGUAGGUGGGGUAACGGCUCACCUAGGCGACGAUCCCUAGCUGGUCUGAGAGGAUGACCAGCCACACUGGAACUGAGACACGGUCCAGACUCCUACGGGAGGCAGCAGUGGGGAAUAUUGCACAAUGGGCGCAAGCCUGAUGCAGCCAUGCCGCGUGUAUGAAGAAGGCCUUCGGGUUGUAAAGUACUUUCAGCGGGGAGGAAGGGAGUAAAGUUAAUACCUUUGCUCAUUGACGUUACCCGCAGAAGAAGCACCGGCUAACUCCGUGCCAGCAGCCGCGGUAAUACGGAGGGUGCAAGCGUUAAUCGGAAUUACUGGGCGUAAAGCGCACGCAGGCGGUUUGUUAAGUCAGAUGUGAAAUCCCCGGGCUCAACCUGGGAACUGCAUCUGAUACUGGCAUGCUUGAGUCUCGUAGAGGGGGGUAGAAUUCCAGGUGUAGCGGUGAAAUGCGUAGAGAUCUGGAGGAAUACCGGUGGCGAAGGCGGCCCCCUGGACGAAGACUGACGCUCAGGUGCGAAAGCGUGGGGAGCAAACAGGAUUAGAUACCCUGGUAGUCCACGCCGUAAACGAUGUCGACUUGGAGGUUGUGCCCUUGAGGCGUGGCUUCCGGAGCUAACGCGUUAAGUCGACCGCCUGGGGAGUACGGCCGCAAGGAUAAAACUCAAAUGAAUUGACGGGGGCCCGCACGAGCGGUGGAGCAUGUGGUUUAAUUCGAUGCAACGCGAAGAACCUUACCUGGUCUUGACAUCCACGGAAGUUUUCAGAGAUGAGAAUGUGCCUUCGGGAACCGUGAGACAGGUGCUGCAUGGCUGUCGUCAGCUCGUGUUGUGAAAUGUUGGGUUAAGUCCCGCAACGAGCGCAACCCUUAUCCUUUGUUGCCAGCGGUCCGGCCGGGAACUCAAAGGAGACUGCCAGUGAUAAACUGGAGGAAGGUGGGGAUGACGUCAAGUCAUCAUGGCCCUUACGACCAGGGCUACACACGUGCUACAAUGGCGCAUACAAAGAGAAGCGACCUCGCGAGAGCAAGCGGACCUCAUAAAGUGCGUCGUAGUCCGGAUUGGAGUCUGCAACUCGACUCCAUGAAGUCGGAAUCGCUAGUAAUCGUGGAUCAGAAUGCCACGGUGAAUACGUUCCCGGGCCUUGUACACACCGCCCGUCACACCAUGGGAGUGGGUUGCAAAAGAAGUAGGUAGCUUAACCUUCGGGAGGGCGCUUACCACUUUGUGAUUCAUGACUGGGGUGAAGUCGUAACAAGGUAACCGUAGGGGAACCUGCGGUUG
rnacentral:rRNA from 1 species